GGACAAUGGGCGAAAGCCUGAUCCCGCCAUGCCGCGUGUGUGAAGAAGGUCUUCGGAUUGUAAAGCACUUUUAGUUGGGAGGAAGGGCAUUAACCUAAUACGUUAGUGUUUUGACGUUACCGACAGAAUAAGCACCGGCUAACUCUGGCCAGCAGCCGCGGUAAUUAAA
rnacentral:rRNA from 1 species